rnacentral:rRNA from 1 species
GAUGAACGCUGGCGGCGUGCCUAAUACAUGCAAGUCGAGCGAACAGACGAGGAGCGUGCUCCUUUGACGGUAGCGAGGGACGGGCGAGUAACACGUGGAUAACCUACUUAUAUUACGGGGAUGAUAUCGGGAGACCGCAUACACUAACGGAGCAUAUGUUGAACGGCAUGAUGCAAUAGUGAAUGACGCCUUUGCUGUCUCUAAGAGAUGGAGCCGGGUCGCAUUAGCUAGUUGGUAAGGUAACGGCCUACCAAGGCAACGAUGCGUAGCUGACCUGAGAGGGUGAUCGGCCACACUGGAACUGAGACACGGUCCAGACUCCUACGGGAGGCAGCAGUAGGGAAUCUUCCACAAUGGGCGAAAGCCUGACCGAGCCACGCCGCGUGAGUGAUGAAGGUCUUCGGGUCGUAGAACUCUGUUAUUGGGAAAGAACAAAUGUGUAAGUAACUCUCCACGUCUUGACGGUACCUAAUCAGAAAGCCCCGGCUAACUUCGUG